UACGAAGGGGGCUAGCGUUGCUCGGAAUCACUGGGCGUAAAGCGCACGUAGGCGGCUUUCUAAGUCAGGGGUGAAAUCCUGGAGCUCAACUCCAGAACUGCCUUUGGUACUGGAGAGCUAGAGUCCGGAAGAGGUGAGUGGAACUGCGAGUGUAGAGGUGAAAUUCGUAGAUAUUCGCAAGAACACCAGUGGCGAAGGCGGCUCACUGGUCCGGUACUGACGCUGAGGUGCGAAAGCGUGGGGAGCAAACAGG
rnacentral:rRNA from 1 species